AAACCUGAUGCUAUCAGAAACUUCUUUGCAACAAAGUCAAUAGGCUAAGACAAUAGGUGCUGGAGCCCUUAGCACAGAUUGGUUUAAUUUGACCUGUGUGAUCAGGUUGUAUCUGGAUCUUGCCAUUCAGAAUUAUUGGCUUAUGUCAUUGAGUUUUGACCGAUCAGAUCCGAGUAUAUAAUACAGCUCAGUGAUCACUGAGAAAGCUGGGUAAUAAAUCAAGGUGGAAGAGAAAACAUUACAGCCCAGAGUGCAAAACACAGAGUUGAAAUAGAAAUAGAGCACAGUUCAGGUGAAGAGCUGCAGAAAUACGGUUUAAAGAGACAACCAACUCUGUAUCAUAAAGGUGCAAGUCAUCAAAAUAAUGCGUGUAAUCUUUGUAUAAGAUCACAUUAACACUCCUCCAUUACACAUGAAAACAACAGAGGAUGCACCUUUCAGAGAGUCUUUACCUGCUGGUGCAUAAAGAUAUGACAAUACAGAAGUGAGUAAAAUAGAUAGGCUCUGUACACUAAGAGCAUAUCCUGUCAGAUGAUUAAAUCCCCUCAAUACAAAAUCAGGACAAACAUGACAGCCAAAGUCACAAAGCAUGAAUGAGUGAACGCCAUCAGAGAGUGAAGAUGACGGGAAACAUCUAUACUGUAUUCCCAGUGGGAGGGGAUGAAACAGCCUCAAUCAGAAGAUGGAGGGACAUUACCAUAAAAGGGGGAGGAUGGACGGCCAAACAGGACGCUCUGGAUGUCAGUGUGUGGAUCAUUGUCACACAGAAGAGGCUCCGUUUAAUUAUGUUACAGGGUUUACUAUUUCAGUUAAAGCAGGAGGGGGCAGAGAAGAAAGGAUGAGAGGGAGGGACGAAAAGAGAAGGAGAGGAGUGUUAGAGUAAUGAGGUUAAAGCGGCAGAGAGAGCAGGAAGGUGGACUGUGAAAGGCUAAUGAAUACAGUCCUUUACUUUUUACUGGUAGUUUUGUUUCAUUUAUUGCAAACAGAAAUCAAACAGUAGAUAAUUUCAUGAAUACAGAGACAGAUAUUCCUUUACUUUCAUGUCAAAUUAGCCUGGGACCACAAGAAAAUAUGACAUAUGACUGUCCUGGUUAUUUUUGCAACAACUUAUUUGGCCUUUAUUACCUUUUUUUUCUGCAGAAAUAUCCAGCUGUUAUUGUGAGUAAUACCCGAGAAAAUAUGGUGAUCUGGGGCAUUUUAUGAAAGUUAUAAAGUUAAUUUUCUGUGGCAGCAGAGACAUCACCUUUAUAUCAAAAAGUACCACUGUUUUCAUCUGCUUAUGGUUGUGAUUAAGAUGACAUUAUAUGGUUAAAAAAAAAAAAAAAGAUAACAAUUCACAACAAUGAGCUGCUUUUUACCUCACAUAGGUUAAAAAAAUCACUAUUUGAAGCACAGCAAAAUUUGUUUUUUAAAGUUGAACAUAUGAUGAGAUUGAAGCUAAUGAAUCAAAAUAGACUAUUUCAGUUUUACUCUUCAGUAUAUCAGCACUGCAACUGAACUGACAAGUAGAUCACUAUAAAUCAGUAGACCCAUAGAUCAAUACUCAGAUUGGAUCAAAUAAACUCAUGUCUUCUAAGUCUGCUUGAAAUCCAGGAGUCAUGAUCAAUGACCAGCGAACCUUCAGGGUUCAUGUUGCUUUGAUUGCUCAGUCCUGCAGGUUUGCCCUCUAUAACAGAAAGCAUAUCAGACCCUACCUGACAGAACAGGCAACGCAGACUCAUGUAAUAUCCCCUAACUCCUUACUGGCAAGCCUCCCUGCAUGCACAGUUAAACCUCUGCAGAUGAACCAGAAUGCAGCAGCACCUCUGGUCUUCAACAAGGCCAAGACAGCUCAUGUCACUCCUCUGUUCAUCUCCCUUGACUGGCUUCCAGUCACAGCUCUCAUCAAAUUCACAACUCUAAUAAUUGCUUACAAAGCAAUAACCCAAACUGCUACUGUUUACCUAUAGCCCCUCAUCCAUGUCUACACCCUUUUAGCCCGCUUCGCUCAGGCACAAAAAGGCGCCUAGUACCUCCAGCACAUCAGGACCCUAAAUCACUUGCCCUACUCUUCUCUUCUGUUGUCCAGAAAUGGUGGGAUGAAUUACCCAACACCAUUAAAUCCACAGAGUCCCUCUCUUCAUUCAAAAGACAGCUAAAGACCCAGCUCUUUAGAGAACACGAGAGACUGGACUCGUCUCCACUGUUGUCCUCAGUGGUUCAAUGAGUCUUCCAGCUACAGCUGAUUCUCACUGUCCUGCUCCACUUCUGACAUUUUUGUGCCCAGCACUUGGUACUUUGGUCAUUAUUGUUGUGACAAGUUAUUGAUUAUUGGUUAUGAGGAGAGGUCUUACAUUGAUGAUUGGUUGCUUCAUUGUUGAUGUUCAUCCAAAAAUUAAAAAAAAAAAAAAGCUUCCACACACUUUGUGCAUUACCUUUAACGCCUGCGUCUAAGUAGACAUGAAAUGCACUUUGUAGCUCUUAUUAUGUUGUUUCUUCUUGUCUAGAUCUUUGCUUGUGUUGUUCUUGCUCUCAAAUGUACGUCACUUUGGAUAAGAGCAUCUGCUAAAUGAAAUUGUAACAUUGUAAUUUUAUAAAUCUUAAAACCUGUAUACUAUCCUUUUCACAUUGAAAUAACAUUGGCAAUGCACAUUUAGUGUUUCAAAACAAUUAAAUAAAAAUUGAAUUUUCACAGAUAGAUGAAUCUCCUUCAUAAAAAAAAGGCAUUAUAAACUUAAAACCUGCCAAACAAGACCAUCCUGCUCUGUAGUGUCUUCAUUGUUUUCUUGUCGUUACCUACUCAAAACAUUUGCUUCAUGUUUCAUAAUUUGUCAUUUUACAAACAUUGUCAUCUUAUUUAGGAUGGCAACAGUGGAGGAGGCUACCAGAGGACUGAGCAGUCAAAACAAAGAGCAGUUGAGGGCAAAAAGAGACAGUGGCUGAAAUUAAGCAUUGCAAAAAAUAUUGUUUGUGCCUGCAGAGCUAUAGACUGCAGUUUCAGGGCGGCAAUUCUAGGAUCACAUCUCUGUGAUUCUGGUGGUGUUGCAGCAGUUCUGGUUAUGGUUAGGGUGACAGUCACAGUAAGACACUGAAAUAGUGUCUAACUCAAAAAAUGUGGUUCUGAGCAGGAUUAGUUGAUACUAUUGCAUACAGGAUCUUAUGUAGUCAAAUUGUGGUUCCACAAAUGUGGUCCUAAAUCUGCAGCCUCUGAGUCUGCAGACAGGUGCUGCUUGUUUUAAGGCAAACCAUUAAAGCUGUUGAUUCUUAAGAACAAAACAAUCAGCUGAAAGAAGCCCCUACACUAAAUUAAAGUAAACAAAGCACAACAUUUCUUCGCAUCUCUUACCAUAAUAGACCUUAUUUUCACCACACAGUCUUAUGAUGCAGUUAGAUAUGAUCACCAACAUUUACAACAAAAUCAAACAAACAAAAAAAAAAAAAACACAGUCCAAUAUACCUUAAAAAUAGAUGUACCUUUUCUCUCCUAUCAAUUAGAGUGUUCUUUCUAAUGCUCCUGUAAUUUAGUCUUUUUAUAAAAGUAUCUGUCAAUGACAAAGCACCACAUUGUCUGAUAAAGCCCUAAAGGAAUAUUUCUCUCUCACUAAACUAAACUUUUGUUUAUCAAGAAAAAAAAGAAAAGCGAUGGAAAUGUCUAAGAACAGUGAGAGUCUAGAUAGUUUUUGCUGUCCCUUGAGGGCUCAGUGAUAACAUUUUAUGGGCUGGUUCCUGGAUUAUAUUUCUUCGUUUAUUUGAAGUUUACAAGUUUUGACUGAACAAAACAGCCAUUGAAUUCUCCCCAUGACUCAUGCAGUGAGAACCUGGACCUAUUUGAACAAUUCUGUCACAGUAAAAGUUUUGGUUUAUGGAGGAUUAAUUUGAACCAUAAACUGAUUUCAUUUCUUACUGUUGUGUUGUUGUGAAAUGAAAGUCUUUUGGGGUGAGGGAGGAGUUUUUAUGACCUUGCUUUUUAGUUUAAAUCUGCCCUGCAAAGAUUUUCAAACCUCAAUUUCCCAGGGGACUGAAACACUGUGCAGAAGUCCCAUCACUAUUUUUGCAUUUGUCUGCACUGUAAUCCUGUUUAUUUGGAUUUGACACAUGCAUUACUGUCCCCAUCUGUAUCUGAAGUCCAACACCUCUCACUGAAACACAUGCAUAUAUAAGACAAACAUCACCCAACUUCACAUCCAGUCUAAACUACAGCAAUCAAGAGGAGUCAAACCACACAGCAAGAUGUUUUCAUGCUUACCUUCUUCUUCUUCUUCCUCUUCUUCUGCAUCCGUCCUCCCUCCUUCUCUCUUUAUCUGCCUCUGGAUGAACAGAUGGGUCCUUUCUCUUCUCUUGCUUCUUCAGUCAAAGCUUGCUUGUAACCCCCGCCCCUUAAACCUCCACCCACCCACCCGCUGACACAUGCAUGUCGCUGAAAAGCCCCUCUCUCACUCAAGAAAAUUUUGAUUCAGAGUCACCAUUUUCUUGGUCAAACAUAAAUAAAACAAUAUGAUUUUAUUGCACUUAACAGUGAAAUUUAAACAAUUACUGCGGUCAGCUCUCUCUGGAUUUCUGUGUUUAACUCAGUUUGAGGAUUAGUCAGUGUCACAUAGCAGAGAUGGCUUUAGAUUUUGUGCGUGUUUGCAUGUGUGCAACAGCUGCAUAUUCCUGUGUAUCUUCACUCAUGGUAAGGCAUUAACAUUUUACACACAAUCCUCUUAACGCACAGAUUAAAAACUAAAAAUGAGGAAGAACAGAUUUGCUUCUAUCUGUCUCCCUGUUUCCUUUUUUCUCAUGUGCUUUCUUUGUGUUUAAGCCUUUGGACUGAUUCCGACAGACAGUCUAGCCUCUUUUUUUGACAGAUAUCUUUCUAGUACACUCUUGAGAUUUACUGAUGAAUUAGAUGUUGAAGAAGUUGCUAUGGAGAGGGAUUUCUUUCUUUAAAUACUGAUCACAGCUCGAUAAAAGUGCAUGUUCCUCUUUUCCAUGCUGCUUCAGCUUCCUGUCAAUACUAAUAAUCUUUCUCUCUCUCUUGAGUUGUGUUUCUAUUAGCGUCUGAAGCGUCCCACUGGGAUAAUUUAGUUCCAUCUAAUCUGCUCUUUGUCUGCUGGGGGAUCACCAAACCUGAUUCCUCUGAUGCAUUUCUACAGGGCAGGCAGAUCGAGUGACUGACUGAUGCGCCACACGCUCCAGAAAGUGGAAGAUAAGUGAGAUGAAAUAUCAGAAUUUAAAAAUGUAUAUGCUUUUCUUCUGCAACAAGAUAUUUCUUAAGUAGUGCUGUUGCUGUCGGUUCAAGUGUUUUGUCCCCCCAGAACUGAUUGGUAGAUUUUUUGAGAUUAAAUUACUAAGCAUGGGUUUCUCCAGGCUUUAACUCAGAGACAGUGUACAGUGAGGAGGGGUGUAUGCAAAAUUGAUUCUUGAUAGUGUGAACAAGACCCUGUUCCACAACAGGCCAGAAACUGAAGACACAAAUAAACUGACACUUGGCAUUGAUCUGAAGAUGAUUUUAUUGAUUUAAAAAUGAUUUAAAUGUCCCCAGAUUCAAUGGUGGGAAGUGCUUCCAUGGCUGCUUACAGCUCAAACUGAACAUACAGUGUGUAAAAAUGGGACAGUUAACCGGUAUCUAGACAUCAGAUUUUAGACUGAAGCUCUCCCCUCCUACUAAACACAUUUACAGCCAGGUUCAACAAACAGCUCUGCUCUGAGGAGCUUGGGGCUCCCAUGACACCCACUGUAAGGGGAGCGACAUGGGGGGGCUGAAGGUCUAUCUUUGAUGGGUUGACAGAAGUCAGAUUAAGUCAGCAUUUCCAACAUCCACUGAUAACUCAGCUUUACAAACAAAUGGGCGCCGUCACCGACAUUAUGUCCAGUUAUGAUACUGUCAUGGUUCUGGUUCUGUGCCACUGUAAAAACAUGGCAGUGCAAGAUGGUGGCCUCCAUGGAAGGGUGCCCCCUCCUGAUAGAUAGAAGAGACUCAUUCGAAGUAAUCUAAAACACUAUUAUUUUUAUUUCACACUGAUUUAAACAUACUUAUAGAUAUAUAUAUCAUAUACCAUUUCUCUCAAGUCCAUUGUCGUAUCUACAACACACUGUAUCUUUAAAAUCAAUAUUUCAUUUAUGAAGUCUUAACAAAAGCUCACUUCAUUGUUUAUCAAUUUCACAAAAUAUGCUUUUUGUUGGCAUUUUUAACAGAUGUAGGAGAUAACAGCAACCAAUCACUGAGCCUGGGGGCCUCCAAAACCCUGUUUAGUGUGGCUUUGCUUUUCUAGACAAAAUAAAUAACAAUAUAAUUUUAAAUCACAAAUCUAUUGAAUCUAUUUUUAAUGAGCUUAUUACAUUCAUGUAUUUAUUUUAGAAAUAAGAGAACUCUCUAUGAUAGCUUUGUGAUGCCUUUAUAAUCCAUUUUCUUCCUUCGUAUGUAGGUAAAAUGCCAUCUUCUUUCUAUUUCAUGAAAUUUUAAAGUCAAUUAUUCGGUCUAUUACAGUGUUUAGAUCCCACCUUUUCAACUAAAUUUAUACUGCUACAUCUUUUCCUCUAAAAGGUAGAAAUUUUGCAUUAAAAUGAGAUUUAACAACAGAAUAGUACAGUAUUUUUAUGCAAUCACUCUGUCUUCCUUUUAUCAAGUUUUUCUACCUUAAAAAUCCUGGAACCUGAAUUUCCUGGUUGUAUGGAGAUGAAAUGUUUUCUCCAUCACUGUGGCAACAGGCUACUUCCUCACGCAUGCAGCUGCUGGGACAGGUCAGAGGUCACUCUGGGGUAAUGGGUGAUGGAUGCUGGGGUGGGGACCUUGUUAAUACAUGAAUAGAGCUGUGUGUCUGGGGCUGUGUGGGGCUCAUUUUGUUGUUGUCCAUAGCAACAAAAACGCUCUUUCUGGACCUCAUGGUGAGUCUGUUGACUUCUCUGGGUGUCUGUCUCUGUCGUUCUGCACCCACAGACUACCUCAGUCAUACUUUAACAGAAAAUAAAGCUUUAAAGAGCUAAACUCCAGCUACCUGAAUCCUGUUUUAGCCUGAAAAGUCUCCUCUUCUGUGGAUAUUUGAUGUGUGGAACCAUUAGCAUGAACUUAGCAGCCUGUAUAUUAACUUUAAAAAUAGUUGUUGACACGCUGACGCUGGUCUGAUGGAGCUGACCUGUAGUGAUGGAUUAUGAGAUGGUGGUAAACCGCCAAAGGAGCUUCAGCUGGAGAAGAGGAGUAGUCCACAAAGAAAGCAGUGUUAAACUGAGAUUACUAAUGUGGACGUCAGAAUGAGAGGACAGUGAUGACGUUCAUGGAGCCUUUGUGUCAUUUAUAGGAUUGAUUAAUGCUCAGAUGACAAUACUGUACUGUCAAACUAGAUUUAAUCAUAAGAACUCAGACCCUAUUCAGGAUAAGGCAACAUUUAUUUAUUCUUUGUAGACUAUGUAUGAUCUAGUAUUAGGGUCACAUGUAAAGAGAGAUUUUUGCAGUACAAGAAAACGAGCUAGAAAAAAAAACAAUAACAAAAGUGGAGACAAAUAAAGACAGAUUUGCAGCAGUACGAAAUGACACAUAAAAAGUGGAGAUGCCGGGGAUUGAACCCGGGGCCUCAUACAUGCAAAGCAUGCGCUCUACCACUGAGCUACAUCCCCUGUCUGGGCACAAAGGGGGAUUAUCGUAUUAUAAAUAAAUAAUUCGGAGUGUAAUGAGCCAAAACAAUAUUGGAAGUAGCGGAAAUAAGCAUUAAACGAUACAGUAAACCAUACAUGAUGACGUAAAUUAGCGACAGACACAUUAAUUUACUCUAUCUAUUACAGAGUGACGCCGAUUAAAAUAACUAAGCUGUGUAGACAAUCAAAAAGAAAGGAUUUCUGGGAUUUAUGAGGGGAAAAUAGUUCAGUUUUCAAAGCAGAUUUGGACGAUUAUGUAUGGCCUUUUAAUUCACUUUGAGGAUGUUAACCCCUCAAGAUCCGAUAAAAACCAGAGCGAACGAGCUUACUUAGCUUAAGAAUGCUUUACAAAAUAUCGCGAGGUUAGCUGUGACGUGAUAUAUCUUAAUAUUUAGUUUUUAAUCUCCUUACAUUCUCCUGAAAGUACCUGUAAGGAUGCCUAUCCCAGGUUCAUACCAGAAAGAAUGGAAGGUCCACACGAAUGGUCAGUUUGACAAGCUUUACUGGUUGCAGAUCUGGGUUACAGCUUCAGCAUGCUACAAGUGUAACAAAGAGUGGUCCAAGACCAUUCAAGUAUAUAUAGUGGUUCACAAUUCUAAACAUACUGUUGGUAUUUAGCUGACCCUAAGAGAAAUCCAUGUACGGUCAAAACAAAGGACAACAUGUUUCAAAAGCCUUAGAUGAACAUGUGGAAGGUCCCAAGAAGGAAAUAUCAUGGCAAACAUAGUUUGGGGACCUACAUGGUGUAAAUAAUGUGUACAGGGUUCCUAGCUCAGGGAUGGUUGGAGGAGGCCCCCCGGCUCCAGCAAUCUAACACCAAAGUGUCUGGGGUAGUUGAGUGACACAGCUCCAACACUCUAGAGGCUAGUAUGACUAGCUGAAGAAACUCAUCCUAACAGUCCUCCCUUUUUUUUUUUUUUUUUUUUUUAUUUCCUAUGUACUUUUAUGUUAUUAUUUACAGUUAUCACCUGACCAGGGUCUCUUAAAACAAAAAGAUGGGUUGAAUAAACAAAUAGAAGAAGGGUCAGCCACCCCAAACCAGCCCACAACGGGCCGUAGGAUUUGAGGCUGCCCUCUACCCUAGACCAACGACUGAAGCACCUAAACCCUACAAAACCAUGAACCAAAGCCGCGAAAACAAACCUUGUCAACCCACCUAAAGAUAAAAAAGACUAGUCCUAUAUUUUAAGGAGCUAUGACACUCAACAGGUCAGUAUGAAAUUAACCAGUUUCAGGCCUCCCCAUCCCUGAAUUCUUCAGAUGACUCAGAUGACGAAGAGGAGGAGAGCCAAGGUCCCUGUACGGAGGGGGAAGGGAUACAAUCCUUCUCCAUCAGGAGUGUAGUCUGCACGAAAGACGUACUGACCAUAGAAGAAACAGAUUUCAUGAUUAGUGCACGGAAAAUGGGAAAACAACAGCACAUCACAACAGCCACAAUCAAAAUAAUGACCAUAACUGGACCUGCAAUGCCCAUAACCCAGGCAUAGAAGGAGCUACCUCCAAAUAGGGCUGAGAUAUGAUCCCAAGCCUUAAGUCCAGUAGACCCCCCUGUGAGGCGUGCAUCUUUAUUGGCAGUGACAAUUCCCAUAUAGAUGUCUUCCAGAUUCUUAAUGGCUAUCGUCAAAUUGCCCAUUCCUUCAGAAUCAGAUGGUAAGUACGUACAACAGCCUUCUCCUACAAUGGCACACACACCCCCUUGAGAUGCCGUCAAUGCAUCUAAAGCAACGCGAUUAUCCGAGGUAAAACGGCGGAUCAAGUCUAACUCAGCAUAUAUGGAAUUAAAACCCUGCAAUGUGGCAUUUGCCAUUAAUGCCAAGUCAUGCCUAGUAAGUGCGAUAAGAUAAUGAUUCGUAUAUUGUAAUUCCGUGUUCCAAAAUAAGGUACUAAAAACCAAUUGUGAAUGUGUAUAUAUCUGAAAAUCAUCACGCAAUGCAUAAUAACGUGUGGCCAAGUCAGUGGGGUUUGAGUUCUUCAAAUGGAUAUAACCAGUAACUUCAGACAACUCUCUCCUAGAUCUUGUGGAGUUGAAGUGUUGUGGUGCGUAUUCAACGGGCUCCACAAUGUAGGUUACGUCAUGUAACAUGCAUAGACCACACCUACCCCUGAAACGGGGAGGGAGACUACUCCAAACAUUGUUACCACAACACCAAUAAAAGCCAUAUGUAUAUGGAGUGCCCAUCAGAGAUAAUUGGGCGUAAUCAGUAUGUGAAUUAACAAUAAAACGGCACUGGUUAACCUUUAGAAAACCCAUAUUCUGCCCACCAUCAGUGAGGGAUUGACCCUCUAGACAAACAUCAAAGAUGUCGGAUGGAUCUACCGCUAUGGAUGAUUGAUGAGGGGUAAUAGACAAGUUCCGAGGUUAUGUUCAAAAGAUAUUUAUUGUAAAACCCAGAACACAUAAGCAAGGAUGGAUGAUUUUCAGGUACGUUAAAUGAUGUUGCAUGUACAUGGAAAAUAUCGUUUCCAUUUUCUUGACUAAUAGAAAUAUUGGAGUAUAUAACAUAUUUUACGACCUUGUUAAGAAAGUUCUUGAUUUUCUGCACUGAAUGCGUUGUCUUACCUAAAUGCAUUUUAGUAGGUCUGAUAACAGGUCGAAACUUGGAAGAGUUAAUGUCAUGUGUUCUGGUUUUGGGAUGCAUUUGUAUGACAUAUUGAUAUGCCAUGGUACACCACGAAGGAAGUCCUUUGGGACCCGUGAGUGAUUUGGCUACCAGUGCGAAAAGAUCUUGAGUAGAUACAGGGAGCAGUGAACAAGCAUAACAAGAAUUUCUUGUGAAAGUUCUAACCCGCUUCUUAAGUGAUUGGUACCAUAAAUUCGAUUCAAAAAGCUUCUUAUUAUCCAGAUUCAGUGCUAAUUCCUUAUAUUUAAGAUCCUGAUUAUUGUCUUCAAUCGUUGAUGAUGGGUUUGCAUCUGUGUCUAUUUGCGAGGGCCAUGCAAUUACAUGUGAAUCUUCAGUACCAUGGACAUUGUUAUCAAAAUUUAUAGUUUUAUCUGACCAAUAUGGGGCACAAACUCCUUGCCAAUAAGGGGGUAUAUAAGUAUGAAGAUGUUCCCCACACAUCCAAACCACGUUGUCUAGUGCUGGGAAAGGGUUAGACGCCAUUAUAUACAGUAUGCGUGGACAUCCUCGGACUGACCCAAGGAUAUAAUCUAUCUUAGAACCAGUUACAGGAGAAACACAAACCGAUGGUAGUAUUUUUUGAGAUGCUUUAAGAAUUAAAGGCUUAAAAUCCUCAUACAUGUCAAAAUCUAAAUGUACAUAAAAACCAGGCGUCAUAGAUUUCCAUAAAUUAUUACAAAAGUUAACUGUGGGAUACGAUGUCAUGGUAUGAAUAGGAAAAGGUCUUGCAUCUAUCGUCUCAUUAUUUUGGGAUUGGUAUUCGACAAAUAGAUUUAUAGUUUAAGCAUUUAAUUGUAAAUAAGUAACAUUGUUUAUAUUAUAUGGUUUAGUCGCUCCUGCGGGUGUCAAAGCAUAAAACAAACAUUGUAUUUCAUGUUCACUGAGGGGUCGGUUAUUAAGAAGACCGACAUCUAAGUAGGGUGUGUGCUUUAUUGGCUGUUUAGUCAUAGCUCGUUUGACAUGCAUCAUGAUCCGCUGAACUGCUUGAUCACUUUUCCCUUCCUUUUUCAAUAGUCCUUCAAAAUCCAAAUCUAACCCACCUGAAGGUAUGGUGCUGCCAAUAGUGCCAUAAAGGAGGGUAUUGCAUAAUAUCAAUCCACCGAGAAAAACAUAUAAGAUAACCACAAUGUUAACGAGUGGAUGCAUAGAUGUGUAGGUGUAGGUUGCCUUCCUCAAUCGGGUUAGGGCAGUCCAGAACCAGGAGCAGUUGACGGGGGAACCGCUGGUGGAGCCGCUUUGAGCCGUGUCGCAUGUAUCCAUUGUGGAUGGCCCUUAACCUUGACUGCAGUGCCCGUGGUGAGGAGGACUUGAACCGCAGGUCCGUAUCGUGGAUCUUUUCCAGUGGGAUUCAGGCUGCGGACCAGAACGUAGUCGCCAGGAGAAAAGCUAUGGAUCGGCUGCUCUGAAGGCGACGGGAUGGAAUUUAUAACCUGCUGAGAAUACUUGGCGACAAAAGAGAACAAAAGUUUUACAUACUCCUGUUGUGCUUCUUGUAAGCAGGUCAAAUUCAUGGCAGAGUCUGUAGGGACUUGAAGACAUAAAGGAAAAGGCCGACCCAUCAAAACCUCAUGGGGAGAUAAGCCAGUAGUUUUGUUUGGCAUAGCCCUUAUCGCCAAAAGAACAUGGGGAAGAGCCUCAACCCAAUUCAUUUGUCUACCCUGAUGGAAUUUGAUGAUCUUUUCUUUAAUUGUUAUAUUCAUGCGUUCGACUUGCCCUGAACUUUGAGGAUGGUAGGGGACAUGAAAGGUCCAUUUGAUACCUAAAGUUUGAGCAAGUAGUUUGGUCACCCGUGAGGUGAAAGGGGUGCCAUUGUCUGAAUCGAUAGAAGUGGGAAUACCAAAUCGUGGUAUCACAUGUUCCAUUAAGCAUUUAAUCACUGUCUGUGCGUUUUCCUUUCUAGCAGGAAAUGCUUCUGGCCAUUUAGAGAAUCUGUCGACAAUAACCAAAAGAUACGAAUAUCCUCGACAUCGAGGCAUAUGUGUAAAGUCAAUUUGUAGACACUCAAAAGGACCGGAAGGUUUGGGGAGAUGCCCAUGUCGUGGAGGAUGCGUAUUAGGAUUACAUCUUGCACAGAUAAGACAACGUUGGAUAAAUUGUCGAACUCGUUUUUCCAAUCCAAUGGUAAAAAACAAUCGAGAGAUGUAGUUAGUCACCGCUGAAUAACUAGAAUGUGUAACCCCAUGAACAAAAGCUAUGAGUGAAUCAUAUGCUAAUUCUGGGAGGGCAAUUCUUUGAUCAUGACAUUUCCAUAAGUUAUCGACGUCCUUAUAACAGCCCCCCUUCUGCCAUCGUGUAAUCUCAUAAGGUGAGGCUUGCCCUUGAAGUGAAACAAGAUCAUCCAUCGUAUAGGGAGGGUCAGAGAGUUGGAGAGAGGGGAAAUGAGAGACCAUCCAAGGAGAGAGGGGUGCAUUAAGGGCUGCAUCUUUAGCAUAUUUGUCGGCUAAAUUGUUACCCAGAGCAACUUCCUUGUCAGAUUUUGAAUGGCCUGUACAUUUUACAACUGCGAUUUGAUCCGGCAACAUCAUGGCUGCAAGCAAUUCUUUGACAAGAUUGGCGUGUUGAAUUGGUUUACCAGCAGUGGUGACAAAUCCUCUGUUCUCCCAGAUUUUACUGAAAUCAUGUGCCACAGAAAAAGCAUACUUAGAAUCAGUAUAUAUAGUUACACUCUUAUCUUUAGCAAUUUGGCAGGCUCUAGUUAAAGCUACUAACUCAGCCGCCUGAGCAGAAGAAACUGGUAAUUUGUAGGAUUCUAGGCAAUGGCCUUGAUCAUCUACAAUAGCGUAACCUGAAAGGAUAGUUGAAUCAUCUGGUCUCAUUGCAGAUCCAUCACAAUAGAGGACUAACUCACCAUUAUUCAAUGGUGUCUGUUGCAAGUCUGUUCGUACGCUAGAUGUUGAAUUGAUAAGGUCCAUGCAAUCAUGUUCCUUGACAUCAUCUAUGUCCUUAUCUCCAUGUAAUAAGGACUUGAGAUGUAUGGCAGGGUUAGUAUGAGUUGCUGUAGAAAUGGUCAGAUUCUGCGUUCCCGUCAAAAUAUGUUCAUAAUUGCUUCUUCUCUGACUAGUCAUAUGUUGAGUUGUUAUGUUAAGAAGGAUGACAUUGACCGCAUGUGUGGUGUGAAGGGUCAAAGGAUACCCCAAAACUAUGGUCUGCGCUUUUUCAACCAUCAUUGCUGCAGCAGCCACGGCUCGUAAGCAGGGGACCAUGCCCUGUACAAUCAACGGAAGGGAUUUGGAGUAAUAUGCCACUGGUCUCAUUCGUUCACCAUGCGUUUGUGCUAAAACUGCAGAGGUGACUUCCCCAUUGUCUGACACAUAUAGAUGGAAGUCAAGGUUAUAGUCCGGAAGUCCCAACGCUGGGGCCGUGCACAGGAGGUACUUGAUAUGACGAAAGGCAUGUUUCAUCUCCUCAGUCCAGUUAAUAGCUUCAGGUGCAUCUUGGAGAGUCGACCUCCUUAACACAGAAUCAAAAAAGGCAUAAUCCGCCAGCCAGGGUCGACAAUAGUUCACCAGUCCCAAAAAGGAUAACAUGUCAGUCUUCAUCCGAGGUUUUUGAAUAUCCAUAAUGGCCGUCACUCGUUCCGGAGAUAAAUACCUGCACCCAGCUCGCAGAACAUAGCCCAGAUAGUUGACCGAUUCCUGACAGAAUUGGAGCUUUGCGAGGGAUGCUCGGUGACCUCCGUCAGCAAGAUGUGUCAAUAAUGCCACAGAAUCUUGAAUGCAUUCUUCUUCAGUCUCUGAGCAAAGAAGGAGGUCAUCGGAAUACUGUAGAAUACAGGAUCGACAUGGCAAGAUUAACUGAGACAAGUGCAUAUUAACAGCGGCUGAAUACACAACAGCUGAAUCAACAAAUCCCAUAGGCAAUCUGGUCCAAACGUAUUGAUCAUUUUUAUACGUAAACGCGAAUAAAUCCUGUGUAUCUACAUGUACAGGGAUUGAAAAAUAGGCAGAGCAUAAAUCAAUCGCUGUAUAGAAUUUUGACUUUGCGGGCAACGCUGUUAGAAUGGAGUUGACAUCAGGCACUACAGGGGCAAUAGGAAUUACGGCUUCAUUAAUUUUUCGCAAAUCUUGUGUGAAUCUAUACCUAUUAGUUCCAGGUUUAAGAAUAGGAUUUAUCGGGGUGUUGUUUUGGGAGCGUCGUUUAACAAUCACCCCUUGUUCCAGAAGACUUCCAAUUACCGGUCUUAUGCCGUCUUCUUUUUCUUUUGAGAGAGGAUACUGUUUAACAAACACUGGGUAUUUCUUAGGAUUAAUUUUAGCCUGAUAGGGUGGCACAUUCAAUAAUCCUACAUGAUUUGCAUGCAAAGCCCAAAGUUUAGAAGGUACAGCCGCUAAAAUCGAAGGCGGUUGCAAUAGGAUUUCCGUGUGGUCCAUAAGAGAAAUCAAGGGUUUGCCCGUUGUUUGCAACAGUUUGAUAAAGAAAUGCGUAGGUUCAGGACCAUAAGACCAGAUGAUGUAAUCCUUAUUUUGAUCAAUUUGAUCAGGUGUCCUUUUUAGAUAGUCUUGACAGGAAAUCAAAAGAUGGUCAAUAUCCCCAAAAUCAGUUCGAACAGCACAGAUAAAAAAAUGAAGAACCCCUUCCUUGUUUUUCCAUAACAGUACAAGACCUUUUGGAGACAUAAAAAAACGCUGUGGAAGUUCCUCCAUGUCGGUAGGUUCAAUUACUUCAUCAGAAAAGGGCAUAUUGACCGAUUUCAAAUGUAUGAUCAACGCCGCACUAGCAGCCUGACAAGAUGCCAAUUUCUUGAUAUUUGUCAAAGUAAACAGGUCAGGGAUAAAAUCACAAUUUGUCAAUACACUGGUGGCAUUAUGUGACACUUCAACAAGAUGGGAGAAUAGCUGAUAUGUCUUGUCUGCUGGAAUAUAGACUUCAAUACCAUCGGGUGAACACGUAAUGACCGCAUUCAAUUUACUUAAUAAAUCCCGUCCCAAUAAGGACAUCGGUGUUGUAGCACUAACAACAAAUGAAUGUUGCAGUUUGAUGUCAUCCAAAUCAACAGGCAGUGGAACGGACAGGGGCUCUCGUUGUGGGACUCCAGAGAUACCGACAGAUUGAACAGAGAGGUUACUCAAAGGGCAACUUAAGUCCUUUUUCCUUAAACAUGAUGUAGUUGCCCCGGUGUCAACUAGAAACUUAAUAGGUUUACCAGAAACUUGCAUACUUAAUUGAGGUGUCUCCGCUGGUUCAUCGGAAACAUGGAAUUGUGGAGUAUUUACAAUUAUGGUAGAGCAAUCAAGUCUGUUCAUGUCCCACAACUGUCGGUUAUAUCAUUGCUUCCACAAUAAGGAAGAAGCCGCCCCUCUGUCCGGAGGACCCUGGGUUGUGGAAUGACUUCCAGAUAUCAUCCUUUGUGUAUUGGUCUGUGGAGAGAAACCAGAGGUCAUAUGAGGAGGAUAAUAGGGAGGCAUUUGAUUUAUAGGCCCAUAUUGUGAACCUUGGGCCCGUUUUAAGGGACACUGUUUUACCCAAUGUCCAACUUCAUAACAGUACAGACAACGAUCAUUUAUGUCCAUCAUUCUUCCUCGUCCCCGUCCUCUCC